GACGAACGCUGGCGGCGUGCUUAACACAUGCAAGUCGAGCGGUAAGGCCCUUUCGGGGGUACACGAGCGGCGAACGGGUGAGUAACACGUGGGUGACCUGCCCUCAGCUCUGGGAUAAGCCUGGGAAACUGGGUCUAAUACUGGAUAUGACUCCACGGUGCAUGUCGUAGGGGUGGGAAAGCCUUGUGCGGCUGAGGAUGGGCCCGCGGCCUAUCAGCUUGUUGGUGGGGGAUGGCCUACCAAGGCGACGACGGGUAGCCGGCCUGAGAGGGCGACCGGCCACACUGGGACUGAGACACGGCCCAGACUCCUACGGGAGGCAGCAGUGGGGAAUCUUGCGCAAUGGGCGAAAGCCUGACGCAGCGACGCCGCGUGAGAGAUGACGGCCUGGU
rnacentral:rRNA from 1 species